rnacentral:lncRNA from 1 species
ACUGAGUGGCACCGAGAGCAUCCCUCGGGAUUAGCAGGCCCCGGUGGCAGGCUCCCAUCCUCGAGGUCGACCACAUCAACAGGACCCCGAGGAACAGACUCCCAAGGAGUCCCCUGAUGAUCCUGCUGUUGAGAUCCCGUCCUCACUAUUCCCGGAGACGGUCCUCGGGGCCUUGAAGAUUCCCCAGGCCCACUGGUCUGCCU